rnacentral:rRNA from 1 species
GACGAACGCUGGCGGCGUGCUUAACACAUGCAAGUCGAACGGAAAGGCCCUGCUUUUGUGGGGUGCUCGAGUGGCGAACGGGUGAGUAACACGUGAGUAACCUGCCCUUGACUUUGGGAUAACUUCAGGAAACUGGGGCUAAUACCGGAUAGGAGCUCCUGCUGCAUGGUGGGGGUUGGAAAGUUUCGGCGGUUGGGGAUGGACUCGCGGCUUAUCAGCUUGUUGGUGGGGUAGUGGCUUACCAAGGCUUUGACGGGUAGCCGGCCUGAGAGGGUGACCGGCCACAUUGGGACUGAGAUACGGACCAGACUCCUACGGGAGGCAGCAGUGGGGAAUAUUGCACAAUGGGCGGAAGCCUGAUGCAGCAACGCCGCGUGCGGGAUGACGGCCUUCGGGUUGUAAACCGCUUUCGCCUGUGACGAAGCGUGAGUGACGGUAAUGAGUAAAGAAGCACCAGCUAACUACGUG